AGAGCGAACGCUGGCGGCAGGCCUAACACAUGCAAGUCGAGCGCCCGUAGCAAUACGGGAGCGGCAGACGGGAUAGUAACACGUGGGAACGCGCCCUUCGGUUCGGAAUAACUCAGGGAAACUUGAGCUAAUACCGAAUACGCCCUUACGGGGAAAGAUUUAUUGCCGAAGGAACGGCCCGCGUCCGAUUAGCUAGUUGGUGAGGUAAUGGCUCACCAAGGCUACGAUCGGUAGCUGGUCUGAGAGGAUGACCAGCAUCACUGGGACUGAGACACGGCCCAGACUCCUACGGGAGGCAGCAGUGGGGAAUAUUGGACAAUGGGCGCAAGCCUGAUCCAGCCAUGCCGCGUGGAUGAUGAAGGCCUUAGGGUUGUAAAGUCCGUUUUAACGGGGAAGUAUAAUGACGGUACCCGUAGAAUAGCCCCGGCUAACUUCGUGCCAGCAGCCGC
rnacentral:rRNA from 1 species